GACGAACGCUGGCGGCGUGCCUAAUACAUGCAAGUAGAACGCACAGUUUAUACCGUAGCUUGCUACACCAUAGACUGUGAGUUGCGAACGGGUGAGUAACGCGUAGGUAACCUGCCUGGUAGCGGGGGAUAACUAUUGGAAACGAUAGCUAAUACCGCAUAAUAUUGAUUAUUGCAUGAUAAUUAAUUGAAAGGUGCAAUUGCACCACUACCAGCUGGACCUGCGUUGUAUUAGCUAGUAGGUGAGGUAACGGCUCACCUAGGCGACGAUACAUAGCCGACCUGAGAGGGUGAUCGGCCACACUGGGACUGAGACACGGCCCAGACUCCUACGGGAGGCAGCAGUAGGGAAUCUUCGGAAAUGGACGAAAGUCUGACCGAGCAACGCCGCGUGAGUGAAGAAGGUUUUCGGAUCGUAAAGCUCUGUUGUAAGAGAAGAACGGGUGUGAGAGUGGAAAGUUCACACUGUGACGGUACCUGAACAGAAAGGGACGGCUAACUACGUG
rnacentral:rRNA from 1 species